rnacentral:lncRNA from 1 species
GUUGCCCGUGGCCUAUUUUUGGCACACGGAGACCCCUCGCAAAGUCUCGUGGCAUUCCGAGUCCGGCGGACGAAGUGGGCCAGCCCCACCCCCCAAGGCUAUACCCACCCGUUUUUGUGGCCUUUUUCCGCUGGACGAACUUGGCGCCCCGGUCUUCGGGCGGUUAUUUUUGGGCGAGGCUUUGUCCGCGGCCUAUUUUUGGCACACGGAGGCGCCUCGCAAAGUCUCGCACCAUUCCGAGUCCGGCGGACGAAGUUGGCCAGCCCCACCCCCCAAGGUUACAGGCCACCCGUUUUUGUGGCAUUUUUCCGCUGGACGAAUUUGGCACCCCGGCGUUCGGGCGGUUAUUUUUGGUGCGGCUUUGGCCGCGGCCUAUUUUUGGAACACGGAGGUCCCUCGCAAAGUCUCGCGGCAUUCCGAGUCCGGCGGACGAAGUCGGCCAGCCCCACCCCCCAAGGCUAUAGCCAACCCGUUUUUGUGGCCUUUUUCCGCUGGACGAACUUGGCGCCCCGGCCUUCGGGCAGUUAUUUGUGAGCGUGGCUUUGCCCGCGGCCUAUAUUUAUCACACGGAGGCCCCUCGCAAAGUCUCGUAGCAUCCCGACUCCGGCGGACGAAGUUGGCCAGCCCCACCCCCCAAGGCUACAGCCCACCCGUUUUUGUGGCCUUUUUCCGCUGGACGAACUUGGCGCCCUGGCCUUUGGGCGGUUAUUUUUGGGUACGGCUCUGCCCGCGGCCUAUUUUUGGCACACUGAGGCCCCUCGCAAAGUCUCGCGACAUUCCGAGUCGGGCGGACGAAGUUGGCCAGCACCCCCCCCCCC